GCCAGACGUGGUGCUGCACGCCUGUAAUCCCAGCUACUUGGGAGGCUGAGGCAGGAGAAUCACUCGAACCCAGGAGGCAGAGGCUGCAGUGAGCUGAGAUCUUGCCACUGCACUCCUUCCUGGGCAACAGAGCAAGACCCUGUCUCAA
ensembl:misc_RNA Metazoa_SRP Metazoan signal recognition particle RNA